UUUUUUUUUUGUCUAGUGCCUUGAUCUGUCUGACUUAUCAGACAUGUAGGAAACUCCCAUUUAGACUUCCUACAAGCAAGACAUUAAAAUGAUGGAUCUUCUCUUUUGACUCUAUCCCAAAUUUGCAGGAGAGAUUCUUUGAUGUCUGAGUUGGGUCAUGGGUUCAACUCCACCUAGCCAAUCAUCCCAUGAAGUGGAUGUGACAUCCUUGGGAUGAGGAUGGUGGGAAGAUCCAUAAACCAAUGUGGCCAUGCGUGCUGGAUGGUGUUCCUAAGAAGUUUGUACAUUGACGCCCACACACACACACACACACACACACACACACACACACAGUAUUAUACAAUUAAACAGACUGUGAGGGUUGUAUUUGUGUAUUUAAUAUAAUAAAAAAAAAAGAAGCCACGAAACUGAAAGAGAGCAAGCAAGGGGAUAUGAGAAGAUUUGGCAGGAGGAAAC
rnacentral:lncRNA from 1 species